rnacentral:rRNA from 1 species
AGAACGAACGCUGGCGGCAUGCCUAAUACAUGCAAGUCGAACGAACACUUCGGUGUUAGUGGCGCACGGGUGCGUAACGCGUGGGAAUCUGCCCUUGGGUUCGGAAUAACAGUUGGAAACGACUGCUAAUACCGGAUGAUAUCGAAAGAUCAAAGAUUUAUCGCCCAGGGAUGAGCCCGCGUAGGAUUAGCUAGUUGGUGAGGUAAAGGCUCGACCAAGGCGACGAUCCGUUAGCUGGUCUGAGAGGAUAGAUCACGCCACACGUGGGACUGAGACACGGCCAGACUACCGUACGGGAGGCAG